AAUCAUACUACCUGUGAAGAUGCGGGUUACCCGGGACAGGACGGAUAGACUCCGUGGAGCUUUACUGCAGCCUGAUAUGGAAUUUUGGUAUCGCUUGUACAGGAUAGGUGGGAGCCUGGGAAGCCGGAGCGCCAGCUUCGGUGGAGGCGGCGGUGGGAUACCACCCUGGCGGUAUUGAAAUUCUAACCCGCACCCCUUAGCGGGGUGGGAGACAGUGUCAGGUGGGCAGUUUGACUGGGGCGGUCGCCUCCCAAAAGGUAACGGAGGCGCCCAAAGG
rnacentral:rRNA from 1 species